AACGAACGCUGGCGGCGUGCCUAACACAUGCAAGUCGAACGAGAAAGGGGCUUCGGCUCCGAGUAAAGUGGCGCCCGGGUGCGUAACACGUAUGUAACCUACCUUUAACUGGGGAAUAGCUUCGAGAAAUCGAAAUUAAUACCCCAUAACAUUUAGAAAAGGCAUCUUUUCUUUAUCAAAGCUCAGGCGGUGAAAGAUGGACAUGCGGUGCAUUAGCUUGUUGGUGAGGUAACGGAUCACCAAGGAUUCGAUGCAUAGGGGGUCUGAGAGGAUGAUCCCCCACACUGGUACGGAGACACGGACCAGAAUCCUACGGGAGGCAGCAGUAGGGAAUAUUGGGCAAUGGACGCAAGUCUGACCCAGCCACGCCGCGUGAAGGAUGACUGCCCUAUGGGUUGUAAACUUCUUUUGUAUGGGAAGAAACCCCCGAACGUGUUCGGGGCUGACGGUACCAUAAGAAUAAGCAUCGGCUAACUCCGUGCCAGCCGCCGCAGUAAUAC
rnacentral:rRNA from 1 species